GGUUCCGUGGUCCAGUGGUCAAGACUCAUCGUUGUGGUUCUCAUUCUUCUCCUCCCCGAUGCAACCCGUGUUCGAUUCACGGCGGAGCCA
rnacentral:tRNA from 1 species